GCGGUAUUAGCUCAUGUGGAUAGAGCAACGGCCUUCUAAGCCGUAGGUGGGCUGUUCGAGUCAGCCAUGCCGCA
rnacentral:tRNA from 1 species